GGAAAAACAAUGGGAGCGCGGCGAGUGUAUCUAAAAGUCGAGGGUCGAGAGUCGAGAGUAAAGGUCGAGAGUCGAGAGUAAAAGUCGAGAGUCGAGAGUAAAAGUCGAGAGUAAAAAGUCGAGAGUCGAGAGUAAAAAGUCGAGAGUCGAUCGAGAGUGAAAAGUCGAGAGUCGAUCGAGAGUAAAAAGUCGAGAGUCGGCAAAUGUCAUCAGAAACAACAAAGUCAAAAUAUUUUUAACACAAUAUAUAACCGAUCCGUAACAACAGCUGAUUAUAGCCGUACGGGCGGGAGGGGGGGGGGGAGGCAGUCCCGCCCCCCAGUCAAAAUAAAGUCAUGCAAAUUAUAAACGUAUAAAUUCGGGCAAAAAUUGGGGG